GAACUGACUCAACCUAAGAAAAGAAAGAAAAAUCUUUUCAAACAUUGAACUUAUUUAACAGUAACAUUUUCAUCCUUUAAGAAAGAUGAACUUUAAGAAAUUUGGCUCAAAAGUAACAAGAAUGAGUUCAAAAUAUUUUAUUUUUCAAAAAGAUUUGGUUCACAAGAAGCCUAACGCAUGCGACCAAAACUUAACACCCCAACAUGCCAAAACAACAGUAAACUUCCCAUCAAACACAUAGUCCUUACUUAACCUUACAUUACUCACUUUUUAUCAUAAAUUAAAAGAGAGGAAAAUGGACAAAACAUGCUGCUUUAUCUUUAGGAAAAGGUUGAUUCAAAACAAAGCAAGCAGAUUCAAUAAACAUUCAAAAACAUUCAUCAUUAUUCAAACACAAAGAUGAGGAGUCAAGAUACAUCUCAAAACUGCAUGCUUAUUAUUAAUAAUAGUUAAUAGUUAAAAUUAUACUAAGGAGUUGAUAGGAUUACCUAAACGCAACAGAAUCCUUACAAUAAAAGAAAGAAACCCGGCAAUGGAUAACUUUGAAGUUAUCUACUCAAAUAACACAACAAGAACUUACCAAACCGCAGCAGUCAACAACAACUUAAAUCAAAUGAAACCUAGAAAUCAACAAGCUUGAAGAACCAAAAGAACCAAGGGAGACUGCAGAACCUUUCUUUUUCGCUUUUCAGAAGAAAAAAAAUGUUUUUUUUGGAUGAAAGUUUGCUGAAGUUUCUUUUAUAUUUUCAUCUCAAACUUUCUGUUCCUUUUUUUUUUGAGUGUAUGAUGAGUAAAGAUGUUCAGACAACUCUAAAGAGGUUCAAAAAGUGUCCUAGAGUGUGUAAAGAGACCUCACCUUUAUAGGAGAGGAGAAGGUCCCUUGGGACAGAUUUUGUGUUUAGCCAAAAUUCUGUCCAAAAAAAUGAUAAAUUUUUUUGACCAAAAAUCUGUCCAAAACCAGAAUUUUAUCCAAGGAACAGUUUUUCUUACCAACUGUGGAUAGAAUUUUGGAGUAUUGUACUCUAAAACAGUCCGCAACAGUGAAAAGCAAACAAAUAAAGGCCUUACACUCAAGCACUCUCUAUUUUUACCAACAAAUAGCUGAAUUUAGAACUCAAACCUUCAAACUGACCAAACUAUGGAUUGAUAGAACAGAAACAAGACUUAAAAGGUAACCGAACUAAGUAUUCAAACAAACUAGAUUCAAUUCAAUUUGAUUUUGUGCAAACUAACAUGAAGCGAUUAAGAUUACAAACCAUUGCGUGAAACAGAAACUAAACGAGCAUUACUAAACUAUCACAUAUGGCUAAUAACAACUUAACAAACGACUAACUAAGUAAACGAUUCAACUAAUAUUUUUUAUUUUCAUGAAACUAGCAUAAAACACUUAAUUAUCGACCGACUAGGUCGGAAAACUGAAGAUUCAAACUUAACAAAUUCACACAAAAUAGUUGACCAGCUAGGUCAAAGAACCAAAAAUCAGAACUAAUAGAUAAUAACGAACUACUCGAUCGGCUAGGUCGAAGAACUAAAAUUCGCAUUUAUAAAGUAACAUGUAAUUCAAAACUAAUACUCAAUUGCACAUAAACAAUGGCGACGUUAAUAGAAAUUAAACCUUUUAAAACUAAUACUAAUUACAAAAGCAAAAAAUCAGAGAAGAUAAAAAAGGAAAUAAGGUUUAUACCAAUCGAGGGCAUUUGACAUGGUUCAAGCCACGAGAAGACAUCGGGGAUGCCAAUUGGUGGCUGUCCGAUCUCGAGGCGCAUGUUUCUUUUUGGCAGACACUAAACCAAUAUAUUAUCGCGUUUUGCCAAAAGGAAACAAAUGCCUUUGGGGUCGAAAAAAAGAAAAAAAAUAGAAAAGGAGAAGCAGUGGUGGCGGGCAGUGACGUCACCGGAAUUUCGGUAGCCAGAGUUUCGGGUUAAGAUCAAUGCCAAAUUAUAGCCCUUAUCGAGCUAUAUACUUCUAUAUAGGCGUUGGGUGAAAGGGGUGGCUCAAUAUUCACGGAUUUAACAAAAAAGUGCGGCUAGGGCUUUCCUAGAUCUAAAAUUCGUGGAUUUUGAGAGGGUUUUGAAGGAUUUUAUUUGAAGAUAUGGAAAGAGGAGGUUGAGAGGAAGAAAUGGUGAAAUUUUGGUGGUGUUUGGAGUACCACCGGAGGCGGCGCACGGUGGUGGCAGUGGAGGAGGGCGGCGGCGGCUUGAGAAGAGAGAGGGUUCUUCUAG
rnacentral:lncRNA from 1 species